rnacentral:rRNA from 1 species
AUUGAACGCUGGCGGCAGGCCUAACACAUGCAAGUCGAGCGGAUGAAGGGAGCUUGCUCCUGGAGUCAGCGGCGGACGGGUGAGUAAUGCCUAGGAAUCUGCCUGGUAGUGGGGGAUAACGUCCGGAAACGGGCGCUAAUACCGCAUACGUCCUGAGGGAGAAAGUGGGGGAUCUUCGGACCUCACGCUAUCAGAUGAGCCUAGGUCGGAUUAGCUAGUUGGUGGGGUAAAGGCCUACCAAGGCGACGAUCCGUAACUGGUCUGAGAGGAUGAUCAGUCACACUGGAACUGAGACACGGUCCAGACUCCUACGGGAGGCAGCAGUGGGGAAUAUUGGACAAUGGGCGAAAGCCUGAUCCAGCAAUGCCGCGUGUGUGAAGAAGGUCUUCGGAUUGUAAAGCACUUUAAGUUGGGAGGAAGGGCAGUAAGUUAAUACCUUGCUGUUUUGACGUUACCAACAGAAUAAGCACCGGCUAACUUCGUG